rnacentral:lncRNA from 1 species
AGGCAAAAGGUGAAAGUGAGGUGAAUUGUAUAUGUAUAUCGAUUACACUUUGUUUGGACUUUGGAUCAUUGUUACCCAUUACUUGUUGCAUAUUAUUUCAUAAUGUAUUGUAUUCUAUUGUACUGUAUUGUGUGGUAGAUACAAUGUUUGGCUAGACUGUAUUGUUUGUUGUUGUUUAUUAACUUUUUAAUUGUUUGGUUUGAUUGUAUCGUACUGUAUUGUAAUCUAUAAAUUUACAAAAAUAUUUUUAAUUAUCUUAGGGUAGGAUGUUUAACUAGAUUUAAAUAAUUAAAGUAAAGAGUAAAAUAGUAUUUUGAAAUAUUAUAUAAAGAUAUAAUCGAAAAAAAGAAAAAUAGGGGUUUUCAUUGUUACGUAACAACGAAAUUUAACAAUACAAUACAAUACAUUUUAAGUAACAAUCAAAACAAACAUUGUAGGUAUAGUAACGAUACAAUACAAUACAAUGGAUAACAAUGAUCCAUACAUAGUGUUAGAUAAUUGUAUAUUAUACAUAUGUAUUUGUAAUAUAUGUCAAGCGAGAUUGGGAGAGGGAGGAGAGAGACGAGCGAAAGAGUGCAGAGAGUGGGAGAGAGAUGAAUUGUAUAUGUAUAUCAGUUAGAUAAUUGUAUAUCAACACAUAUGUUUGUAUAUUCUAGCGAAUUAUACAUUUACAAAAGCGGUUAAUUAUACAAACUCGAAGUCAUGCUACGUAAUUAAUGUAUAAUAUUAAUCUUGAGUGAUAAUUAUAAAAAACUAUAACUAUAAUGAGUAAUUAAGUAGUACAAGUUUGUGUAACUGCGUAAUUUUCCUUUUUUUAACUUUUUGGACAAAAAAAAUUAAACUGUAUCUUGAGUUAACAUCAAACAAACAAAUCUUACUUUUUUUCCUCCCUGAAAUUUCACAUUAUAACUAUUCAUUAUUAUUACUUUUUCCUGUUUGAACUAUCAUCGUCUACAUUUUUACUCAAACAAUAAUAAAAAAUUUAUAAAUAAAAUGUGAAACUCGCAACGUAGUGAUAAUUAUUAUCUCUUGUUCUUUGGGUCAACUUAACUCAUUAAACAAGUAAAUUUAUGUACAAAACUCUAGUAAUAUAUUACAUCAGAUAAAUGACAUCUGAUCAUUAAAUUUUUUUAAUGUUAUUAUUGUUUUUGUUAUUCUAAUUUUUAUGUUUCAAACCACACUUACUCUUUAGAAGUUAGUAGUUUUUAUUUUACUUUCUUUUUGAAGCAUAGUUUCACACCAACAGGUGUUUGUGUCAAUUGUGAGGUUUGCUUCAUCUUUGCAACAUCUCCUGAUGAAAGCAAUGGUAACCAUUUCAUUGAAGUUCACUAAUGGUUGAGCUGGUGAUGAGGCUGAAUUUGCGCAGUUUGCAUAAGAAACAGGUAACAAUCUUCUAUCUGUAAAUUGUAUAAACGAUUAAAGAGCUUCUCUAAAACAACAUACCAAGUGUAAUCUCACAAAAGAGUCUGUUACUUGUUGAAUGUCUGCGAUUUCACUCCUUCUGUUCAUCAUUGUCUAAUAUAAGAGUGUGCUUUGUUUUUUGGACAAUUUACCAUAUGCUACAGUUGCAGCUUCAGCUGCACAUCUCUCAAUAAGUAGGUGACUUAUAUGUGCUAGAAAUAAGUCUAUUUGCAGAUCAUUAUGAAUUUCAACCGAGACCAGUGAAGAUGAAAACGUUCAAUGAUGUACUCACAAGAAAUUCAUUCUAGAUUAUCAAGAUAAUACAAGGGAGUGUGUCCUCUAUGCAGGAAACUGUUACUUGAAUACACUAUAUAACUUACAACAAUGAACAUGCACCUCUAUGUGAAAACAACCGAGAUUCUGUUUCUCGUGACAAGGAAAUUAGUAGGUAAGUUGUGGUUCAAACUCAGCAAAAUCAACCGAACCUGACUCAAUAGGUUUCAUGAGAUACGCAGCCAAUAACUCAGAAGCCAAAGCUGCAAUCAGAGGGAUCUUUUUGAAAUUCUUCACCAGUGGAAUCUCAUCACUCUCACUAACAGCAAUUAGUUUGGUGUUAAUCUCCACCAUCCUGUCCAACUUCCUCUUGAAUUCUGGGUUCUCAACAUCAAGGACAGCAGGGAAAAUCCUUGCAGUUGUGCGGUUUGUCUGAAUGAGAUAAGAUUUUUAGAAAGGUUAGUGAAUAUGAUCAAGCAAAUAUAUUUAUGUCAGAAACCAAUAGCUUUUAACAAUUUACAAGGUAAACUGAGGUACCAACAGCAGGUACUACUUAACAUGAAUGAGGUACAUAUACAAAUGUGCGGAUAAUUCGUGUCAGUAACAUCCAAAAAAUGUCUCUCUUCCCACAGGUGAACAGGGUAUUCAAAAAAAAUUGUCAGAACAUCUGUUCAUUAAGACAACCUCACACUUAUGACACACAACCUUGUAAGCAGUAUAGAACUUAAGAUGCUAGGCAGGCUAAUGAAAACGGAAUCUCGCUCAAUUUUGUUACAAAGAACUGCGAUUGAAAUUGAAUUGCAAUAUCUACGGCAUGCUAAUCAAGCAACGGUAAAGGAAGAGUAAGAUAACAGCCAAUUGAUCACCUCAAUGAUGACAUGCAUGUCAAAUUCUUUGGUGUUAAGCCCAAUGCCUUCGUAAAAAUCUGUUCUUUGGCAAUCAUUCAAGUACAUAGUCACAUAAACCUGCAUUUCGGUAAGCAUACGAUUAUUAUCAAAACUAUGUAGGAGGCAAUGUAAAAAGCCUUUCAAGUUGGCUUAACAUAAUGAAACGAUACUUCAAAUGCAGGUGGUUCAUUACCGAAAGGCAGAAGAAGCGAGACCACAGCUUUGCCUUCCAGUCAUUGAGAAACUGAGGCUGGGCUUUCAUCAAAGCAGAGAAGAAAUCACCAUGGCGGUUCUCAUCUUGGCACCAGUUCUCGAAGUAUUUGAAAAUCGGAUAACAUAUAAACUCGGGAUUGGUCUUGAGAUGCCUGUAUAUGGUAAUGUACCUCCAGUAUCCAAUUUUCUCAGACAAGUAAGUUGCAUAGAAGAUGAACUUUGGUUUGAAGAAAGUGUAUUUUCUUGCUUUGGUCAAGAACCCCAAGUCCAACGCCAAAUUGAAGUCAGAUAAACCCUUGUUCAAAAACCUGCAAAUUCCAACCAGCCAAACCUUCUCAUUACUCGUAAGGUCUAAAUGAGUUUUCCUUAGGGAAAUGCAUGUCUAAUCAAGCAUGACCAAAGAUAGUAAAAUAUGAGCUUACCCAGCAUGGCGAGCUUCAUCCCUAGACAUGAGGGAGAAAAUCUCUGCAACAACAGGAUUAGUUUUCUGCAGACAUAAUUCAAAUGUUAGUUAGUGAUAGUAACAAAAGUGUGACUAUUCAACAUUCAAAAAUUUCUUCAACUAUCCACCUCUCUAAACUUGUAGGACCAUGAUCUAAGUCUCGAUUGUGAAUAUUGAACACAACACUAUAGAAGUGAACUUUGUCAAUAGAGUAAAAAGCACAAACCUUUUGUCCCUUUUUCUUUACUACUUCUACGUUUCAAUUUGUUUGUCUUGGUUUUUUCACUUAAAUUUUUUGAAUCUCGUGGUCUUAACUAAAGAUACCUAGGAAGACACAUUUUUUUAAAACGGACUAAAAAUGGCUACACAGCAAUAUAAUCAAACUAUAACUUAAAAGUGGCUGCACAGCACUAUAAUCUACAAAUUAGAAAAAGAUUCAAACUUUACUUCAAUAGAAGCCAAAUAUAACCUAGACAAGCUUAACUCAAAUAAAGAAAAUUACUACUAUCAGAUUUUCACAAAAGGUAAAACAGAAAAACUAUAACAAACUAGAUAAUAAAAAUCUAAUAGCACACUCACUAAGCUAAUUCAUCAUAUAGCUUAAUUAAUUAUGCUAAUUUCAGAACAAAAAAUUCUCAAUAAAUAUAUACCUUGAGCCUCCUUCCAAGUUCCUUGUAGAGAAGGAAACCAGAGAACUCAGCAGUGCAAGAUCUCUCCAAGAAUUCAACAAAGAUUUGUCUUAAAGGUCCCUGAAUUUUAUCAGCAGCUUCUUUAAACUCCUUGUUCCUAACAAAAUGAGUCUGGUUGUAAUCAGUUUUGAAUUCCUGCAAAAGGGCUUCAAACUCAGCCUCAUUCAGGUUCUUGUUGAUCUCAGUGUUGAAAAGGGUCUCCAUUUCAUCAAAAUCAGUAGUGUAAAAUCUUGGUGUCAAAAGGGACUCUUUGAUUCCUUGUUUCUGAGGUUUCUUGGAGGGCUUUGAAGUUGGUGGGGUGGUAGUGGCGGCUGACAUUCUAACUGUGAACGGCAGUCUGCGACUGCUCAGCCGUGCAGUGGUGGUGUUGAUGGUGUUGAAUUUGGUUAUGGGUUUUACUAAUGCCAUUUCUGCUGCCAUUUUUUCCAAGAACUUCAGCAGAAAGAUUGGUUCUUUGAAGCUAAGGGGAAUUGGGAUAUAUGAAUCUUAAAUGAUAGUGAUGGAACCUAAUCUCAUCCAAUGAAAUCUUGUGGGUUAUGUGGGUUUCUGACACGUGGCAUGCUAUGAUGGGUCAGCUUGAUUACAAUGAUAGCUUAAUAAAGUUUGUAUCUUUGUGUCAUUUGGGAAGUAGUAGUAAUUGUGGUCUGUGUUUCUCCAUGUAAAUUUCUCAAGAUAUCAACCUAGUAUUAAUGGUUGAAAUUCUUCUAUUUGAUUAGAAUGUACUAUAUGAAUUUCUUUCGUAUGGUCUAUUUGAUUGGAUUAUAUUCACCACAGGAUUCGACAAAAUUCAAUAGCUAAACUAUAAUUAGUAAACUCAAUAGUUUUAACCCAAACUCCACUUUAAGCCCUUUAUUAGGUAAUUUAAGAGAGACUACUUUCUCUGUAAAUUGAUGAAACAUACUAUAACAAUUUUUAGUUUUUCUGUCAUCAUUUAUAGUAACUUUCCACCUUUAGUUAUUGUUUGUUCUUAUCUUGAUUUGGUUCCAUAGCAAAACUAGACCAGAUGGAUCAAAUUUAUACCAAAAACAAAAGGGAGAAGAAUACUCAAACUCCUUUGGUGUUUAUCAUGAGACCAAUUCAAAAAAGAAAAUUAAACAAACCAUACCAAUAGAAAACAAAUCAGGGAUAAGAAGCUGCAAAAAUCAAAUUUACAGAAAAGAAUCUAUCUAUUUGUUUAUCCAAUAAAUUUUCUAUCAAACCAGAAGCUUCACAUGAUACAUAAACUAUGCACACUGACUUUGUAAGAGAAUGAAAAAAGACUUGGAUGGAAUUGGACAAAAGGAUGAACAAAGAAAGGAGCUACUGAUCAAUCUAUCUACAAUGUUGAACUCCAACAUGAUCUGCUCUCAUCUCAAGCAAGACCCUGCAUUAUUUCAAACAUAAUUUUUUCCAUAUGUUGCUGAUCUUGAACAUGAUAAUUUGAAAAGCCGCGAAUCUUGGUCAAGUGUUCCCAAGCUGCCACUAGGUAAACACAAAAGACUCAAGGGAGAGUUCCUUAUAAUGUGUAUGCUAUACCUGAAACAAAAUUGGUAAUGUCAUUUUGAUUGAACAACAAAAGAUCCAGCAGUCUCUGCUGACAAUUUUUACUGUUGAAUAAAACUUUAUCACAAAAGAGAAAAUGAUAGCACAAUAAUGCCAUUAAGCUUUAAAUAACUAAACGAUAUAACACAUUGUUCUUUUAACAUGCUCAAACACAUUAAAGCAUAGUAUAUGCAGCUAUGCACAUUAUCCAAGGGGGAAAGAGGACUGCUCUCUCUCUCUCUCUCGUCUCCCCCGUGCAUAUGUAAACAGAUGGAUAUAAACCUCAUUGUUCAUAAAAAAGAAACCACGAAAAUGGGCUCAGUCCAUUUUUGUUUGUUAUGUUUCAGAAGAAGGAAUAACUUUGUCUAAUUGGAUCUUGAUCAGCCAACAAAAUCACUAAUUGGAUAAUACCAGAGAACCGCUAAAACGGUUUGAAAGUUCCAUUAGUUGCACUUCCCUUACCAUUCCUGAACCUUCUGGUUGAGUAUAAAUCUUGAAGUAAAACAUAAAUGAAGCCAAAUGCUCUUAUGGAAUCAGGGCAAAUUUUAAUCCCCUUGAAAAUUGUACCACAUAGAUAGGGUAAAUUUUUUUAUUUUUUUUGUGCAUAUGUAGAAAUUUUUGAAUCCCCCUUGACAUGAGAGAAGUACAAGUUCAAGUUUCAAGAGCGACAUUUUUUAAAAUCAUUUAUCAGAUUUCUUGGCUGCGGUAUGUGUGUCUAAUUCACAGUUUGGUUCGUGUUAUCAACUACAUUCAAGAGAGUAACAAACUAACAAUGUAUAUGGUUUUAGCAUUACUAUGCAUAAAACUAGAGUACUGACAGACUUAAAGAAAAUAAGCAGUGAAAGAAAAGGUACCUUUGGGCUACGAUCAUUUAUUGGUGUCAUAUACAGAGCCGAGCUACUUACUUCUUCUGAGUUCUCUUCUACAUUAGAUGCACUUCCUAGAGUGGAGCUCUUUACACUUUCUUUUUCUUGUUCAAGUGAAAACCAGAAAGGUUCAUAAUCAGUUCUCCCACCUUCAUCCUUGUUUUUGAAAUUUUUCUCCAUGCUAUCGCCAUUCAUAUUCUGCGAAAUUUCUGCCUGUGCAGUUCCUUUAUCUUCUGCAAAGUUAUCUCCCACCUCAGUAUCAAUUGUCUCCUUUAAGCUGGUGAUGCUCCGCAUUUGCUCACCAGAAUCAGAAUAAGCAUCUCUGGUCCAUUCCCUGCUUUUUAAAGUAUCAUCUAUCUCCUCAUAUUCCAAAUUCCGCAAAAUUUCAGGAAGUGAUAGGCCACUAUCCUCUGGAAACAUUGUUCCCAUCUCAAUAUCUAUCUUCUCUUUUGAGCUAUGGAUAUUUCCCACAAAGUUGGAAGUUGUUGGCUCAACCAUUACAAUGUCAUUUUCUUUAAAAACUGCUCGAAAAUUAUUCAAGGAGGGUGGGAUCUUGGAAAAGAGAACUUCUUUGAUAUUUUCAAUUGACCCCCUAUUAUAGGGAUUCUCCUUCUUAUCAUAUCGAUACCUGAAGUUCUCAUAAGUAGUCUGCAAAAAACAACAAAAAUGGGAAACAGAAAAAAAAAUAUGGUUAUGUAAGAAUAUGAAGCAACACAUCAGAGUGAAAUUUCAAGCUGGUAAAUAUAGAGAACUGUAAGCGAACAUUUAAUCAUAGGUGCAUAUCUUAAUGCAUCUAUAUAGAAGGACAAGGGGAGUGGCGGCAGAGGAAUCAAAACUAGGGGAAAUGAGAUUUGAACUUCAGAUGAUGCAGGUCAUAAAUGGAUCUUAAUUGGCUUUUCAGAAUAAUAUGGCCAGCAAGGCAGAAGGAACAUUAGUAAUGAACCUCAUGAGUGAAGUUUAAAAAUUAGUCCAUGGAACAACUCAAUAUAUGCAGUAUGUUAUACAAAUCACAAGAGUAUUAGAGCCACUACACUGGGAUUUCUCAUAAUUGUCAAAGCAAUUUUUAGAUUAUUUUCUGCAGAGUAAGAAAAAUAAUGGAAGUGGACCCUCAGUAAACUUCCCUGACCUUUUCUGAUGGGGGAGCGGGAUUUAUCUAAUAAACUCUAUAAUAACAUCAGAUCCAUCUCAUAGCCUGAUAUUUGAGAACUCAAUCCUUGGAAGUCAACAUUCAAAGAAACAAAACUUUGACGAACAACAGGAGUAAAAAAGUUGAGAGAAAACAUUGGUUCCAAUUAAACAUCAAAAUAAACUUUAAGUUGUCAAUAUUAAUAGAUGCCAGCACAAAUUAUUAAUCUAAGUGCUUUUACAUAUAAUUACUCUAAGUAUUUGAAGAUGUCAGCAGGUUCACUUUCACAUAUUAUUCAUUUACUCUAAAGGACAAGGCAUCUAAAGUUUUCUAGAAAAUCCUCCAUAAAAUCCUGAAAGAAAGAUCACACAAAGAACUAAUAAACCGAUUAAGUGUGACACAAAAGGAGAACCUCCAAGAAUUUUCUACAUAGAAAAGGAAAGAGAACAAGAUGGACUGUGAUCCAGAGGUUUCAUGUCAAAACAAAGCACAGAAAUCCAGAAAGAUGUUUUAAAUGGAUAACAAAUAAAAGUUGGUUCUUAUGUGUUCUAAUAUCCUAGCAGCUAGAUAUUCCUGCCACUUAGAAUAGUUAAUAGUUAAUACUUAAUACUGCAAGGUAUAUUUUAACUAUGAACCAGGCACACAUACAAUAUACUCCAAUGAAAACCAUAAGACAUGAUUCACCAUAGAAAAUAUGCAAUUUUAAGUUGGACUUCCUAAAUAUGCCAAUUCAUCAUAAAACAACUCAUAUUGCAGAUGAAAUUACAGAAGAACCAUAACUAAUUUUGUUAGUAGACAUCUUAGUCAGAGAUUUCACCUGGUUAGUGCUAAUCAGGUAAAAAUGGAAAAUAGUAAGGCCACCAACAAACCAAACAGCAAUGAAGCAGUAUAUAAUGAGAACAUCUGACAAGAUAUCUUGUGAAAUAGCUCUCCAUAAGUUGCCGCCACGAUGAAGGAUAUUGACCAAGGAUAUGACAAAGACAUAUAUGCAUAAUAUAGUUGAUGUAGAUAUGAACAAGUAGAAGAAUCUGUAAUUCCGCUGCAACCAAGUGAGAAAUAGAAAAAGUCUCAGAAAACAAAAGAAAAGGUGUAAUGAUGUCAUAAUAUCUCAUGUAAAGUGAUAUCCAGUAUCCUACUGCCUCUAGUUCUUUAUGAUCUUGAACAACAGAAGUAACUUCAUUUAUCUGAGGACAUAAUUUGCAUGACAAGUUAUACACCCCCAAGUGAUAGAGAAGAAGAUUAGAAGAAUCAUACAUUUUUGUUUGGACUAUCAAUAAAUCAUUUACAACAGAAAAUGAAAGGAAAUCAAUUAUAUUAAUAUUUCAAGUUCAGAGACAGAGAACUACAUUUAACCCUUUUUAUUCUUUCUCCUAUUCUUUAACCUCUCCCUCUUACAACCCAUACUCUAGCAAAGAAUAUCGUAUUUCUCAUGCAUUCACUAAGAUAUAACCAUUACUCUGCACAUAUUCCUCACCAUCAAUGAAUUUGUUCUUUCUCAUCCAACAAGAUUCUGCAACGAAUGGCUUUUAGAAUUAUACUUCAUAGGGCUGAUUCACAUCUCAUGCCAAAAUCUUAUAUCAGUUCAUAUGGCUGAUUAGCAUUUAAUGUCAAACAAAUAUAUGAGUACUCCACUUAUCCAUAUUAUAUGGCUUUCCCUGAUAAUCUACACAAAUUAUUAAGUACAACUCCAGAACUAGGUUCUUGGGAAAAAGACUAUAGCUGGAUGGUGUGGAAAAACUAAAUUAACUUUGGCUAGCAUGAGCUUUUACUUUCACUAUGCAGGGAUACAUUUGUUUCAUUUCACAAUGCUUGCAUCAUUUCAACUUAGAUAUAACCAUCAUCUUCCACACACAAGUAGAUUGUUUAUUAACUGGUAAGAGGAAACAAUCCAAAUCGUUCAAGUUCGCUCAAAAAAUACAUAGUCAGCAAUACUUACAAGCCCAAUGCAUUGGCCAACCCAGGGACAGUGAUGAUCAAAUCUUUGAACACAAUUGUUGCAGAUCGAACAAUGAGAGGAACGAGGAGGCCGGUACAGCAAACAUGUAUCACAGUACUUGACUUUAACUGUGUGUCCAUUCACGAUUACAUCUUUUGCUCGUGGAAGUUUCAAAUGAGGAGUUCUACCGUUGACCCACUCCAUGGAAGGGGUAUGUAUAUCAAAUGUUUCGUCAGAUUCAGGAGGAGUUAUGUUUCGUGGGACAAUUCCAGGAUCUCUACUAGAUGUUAAAAAGAGAAAAACAAUAUCCUGCACAUGAUAUAAAAGAAUUUGUGAACUGUUUUCACAUUCAAGUCAAAUUAGUCAGCUGCAGAUUAUAAACUCACUCACAACUAACUAGAGAAAGUUCAUCAGCUUUCUGCUAUGUAGGUGAUUAUUCAAUUGACUUUUGUUACACAAAAUUUUGAACACUUACUUUGAAAUGAGAAAGAGAAAAGAAAGCAGUGAGAGGAGAAAGACAGCUGAAACUAAAAAAAUUGCACAUGACAGAACAAGUUUUAGCCCUAUUCAUGUAGUUUAUUGUCUAUCUUAGUUAUUGGCUUUUGAUACCUGAUACAAUCCAUUAUUUAUUUUAUUUCGGUUAACGCACUAUUUUUUUGUCGUUAUUUUUUUUUCUGAAUGCUCUGUAAUGUUUUCCUUAUUAGUUGUCAUGUUUUCUUCACUUCCUUAUUUUCUUUUUCGUAACUGCUUUGAAUUGCUGCACUUGAGCCAAGAGUCUUUUGAAAACAAGCCUCUUCACCUUCAUGAAGUAGGGGUAAGGUUUGCAUACACUCUACCCUCCCUAAACAACACCUGUGGGAUUACAUUGGGUAUGUUGAUGCUGUAGACAGAAAAAAGAGAAUGGAACAUUACAAGGCACUGACUGUCACAGCAAAAAGUGUUGUCCUCCUUUGUUUCGCCCCCAUCUUUCUAUGGGAGAUAAAGACUAAUCACAUCAUAAACAAUGUUUACUACUCCCUAAAUAAGGUAGUUUCAAUUGCAAAAGCAGAUCAAAUACAGAGUCAUUCAUUUUUUCAUGGUAAUGAAACCAUAUGAUCCUACUGAUAUAUUUCUUAUUAUGUCACCAUCAUACUAUUUAACACCAAGAUAGGCUAAAAGAGGAGACAGAAGAAUGCAGAAUCACCCAUGUCGGCUAAUUUUAACAAUGAUAAAGAAACUCCAUACCAUAAUAGUAAGAACUGCUCCAAUUACAAGUAUAGGAUACCAAGGACCAGCAUCUUUGUGCUCUCUGAUACGAUGUCUGAUUACACAAGAGACUUUUAUACAAAAAGCAAGUGCUGGGCCAGCAAUCAAAAGUGUUGAUAGAAACAAUGAUGACACAUCCGGACCGAAGAUCAAUCUUCCUCCCAAUAAGAAUUUCUGGAAACAUUCAACAACACAAAAUGAAAGUAAAAGACAUGGAACAGAAAGGUCUGAAAUUAUGCAGACUCUAUAUUGCAAAAUAUUGUUACUGUGAAUCUAAGAAAAGUUUGACCAUAUGAAACAAGCAGAUCAACAAUAUAGAAAAUUCUGUUAUAUCUUAUGAACAAGCAGUAUAAGAAUAUAAGGAUAUCAGCACCUUCAAGUUCAAAUAUGUAGAAAGUACACAGUUUUAAGUAAGAAUUGCUACUAUCAAGGCCUUAACUUUAACCUCAAAUCACUCUUACAUCAGACAUAGCAAAGAUAAGAAACAGAAAAACAGAAGUCACCAAAAUUAGCCAGUCCAUGCUGUCUAAACACUUGAUUUCAGCAAGAAAACUACUUAUUCAAAUUCAAACAUGACUAAAAUACUAAGCUAAACACAAUCUCUUCAAUUCCAAAAAAAAAAAAAAAAACUCACAUGGCUCUGACAAUAUCAAACUUAUUUUAUUAGUUUCACAUGGUACACUGAAAAUCAUAAUAGCAGCAGAAUCAUAGAAGAGACACUUACAUUACUACCCUUCCAAACCUGAUAAAGCUUCAGAGGUUUAUGUUUCUCACGAACCAUAACUCUGAAAAUUUGAAAUGAAACAAAAACAACCCAAAAAUUCCAACUUUCCAAUCCCAAAUAAGAAUCAAAAUCCUCCCCUUCUCUUCCUAUUAAACAACUUCCAACAUCCCUUAUAAAGAAAAAAGUCCAAAUACAGAAAAAGAUUGUCUUUUUCUCAAAAAAAAAUCAAGAAAAUCCCCAAUUCAAAGAGUUUAAAGAAAUGGGGUUUGGAGAACAAAAGGGAGAGAAAAAAAAGUCUUUUUGUUGUUGGGAACGAAGUGGUGAUCAAGAACUAGCUGCCUUUGUUGUUAUUGUUUGUCUCAGACGGAUUUACCCAGAAUGGAUUUUCCCCCUAUCUCUAAUUUUCUCUCUCCCCCUUUUUUCUCUCUCCAACAAUAUUCUAUCGUAUAAUUUAAUAAUUAUUAUCUUAUAAAAUUAUAUCGCGAUAGAGUUACUAUAAUUAAUCUACCUUGUAAGUUAGGUGGCAUUUGAUAACUUCGGUAACAAAUGAAAAUAUAUGUCCAAUUAUAUAUAGAUACAAAAUAUAUAUUAUAAUUUUUUGUGAGAAUUAAAGAGUAUAAUCUAUUCGAAGUUUAUCAAGUAAUUACUUUAUUAGAUAAAUAAGUAAAUACAUGUAAUUAGUUAUAAAUUACACUUAAAUAAUAAUUCUCCCAUAAAUCGCUUUCUAAACCCACCAAUAAAUAUUAAACAUUUUAAUCUUUUACAAGAUGCAAAACUAAUCAUCAUUCACCAAAAACUAUUCAAUUUAAUAAAUUAAUUCUUAUUGUUGAUGGUAUAGAAAGUGGCAACAAAUAACAUGAAGCUACAAGACAAGAUUAUCAAGAUUAAAAUAAUUACUUUGUAAAGUACAACAACAACUUUUACCGUUAUUUUAAAAAGGCGGAGAGCUAUAUUGUUUUCGAAAAGAUAAUGAUAUUAAUAAUUGAGAUAAGCGAAAUAAUAAGUAAUAAUAAAAAUCUAAGAAUUCAAAAAUACAAGAAUAUAUAACACUAAUACUUCAAGCAAUUUAUCUGACUAUCUACUAAUUUUUUAUUUUAAUUCUUGAUUUUCACACUUUUCUAUCGAGAAUCAUUAUUUUUAGUGAACUAAAAUGAAAAAUCGUAAUAAAUAUUCUUCUUUGAUCGGAAAUAAUAAAAAAAUAUUAUAUCUUAAAGCUCUUUCAUUUCUCCUUUUUUUAAUACAUCAUGAAACGAAAAAUGUUUUUAAAAGAAUAUAUUAUACAGUCUGGUGGUUGUUAUUUAGGCAAAAAAACGUGCAGGCACAGCACAAUUUUCAUUAGUCUUUGGAAUGGAAUAUACCAAUGAAACAUUAAUUUACUAUCUAUCAUAAAGAGAAACAUUCUGCACAAUUCAUUUUUAUUUUUAUUGUUAUUGUUAAAGUGCUUGUUAUUAUUAUUAUUAUUUUUUUUUAGAUUUUAUAGUCAUGUGUCCCACUGCUAAUUAAGUUGGUGAGGUGAUAUGCAAUGUACAAAAAAGUUGGAGGAGGAAAAGAUAUGUUGUACUAGAAAAAUGCAUUUGUUCACACCCUUUUAACAAUCAUAAUUAUUCCUGCAUAUAUCUUGAACAAGGUAAAUAUACUCUGAACUAUCGUAAAUGAUAUUUAGAUAUUAUUCGAUAUAUUUUUGAGAUAUUAGUGCCCUUGUCGUUCAAAAACUAGUGCAUAUAUACCCUUUAUACUAACAGACAUACAUGUCUGAUCCGACAUAAACUAAAUAUUGGAUGGACGGAUAAAAUUAUGCCCAAAAGUAUAACGAAGGAUAUCUACAUACCAUUUAUUUGUCCUUUUUCUCUAUACUAGUCUUUGCUCGCGUGCAACGCACGUGUACCCUAUUAAUUAAUAUUUCGUUUUUUUUUAAAUGACACAAGUAUAAAAUAUAUAAAUGAGACAUAAAAUAGAUUUUUUAGAAAAAUAAUCAUAAACUUGAAACAAUGAAGGGUGACAUGUAUACUCCAAAUUUUGUGAAAUAAUUGAAACGUCAAGUAAUAUUACCCUAUUAUCAAAUAUAGAUAUGAGAACCAUAUAUUUAUUCACUGGUCAUUUGUAUUACAUACACUUGUAUUAUAUAUAUGCAUGAUUUUUCAAUUUAAUUGGUACCAUAAAAGUAAAGUUCAACCAUAUUAUUUUAAUUGUUACCAUAAAAGUGGCAUUACUACGAUGACUUUCUAAAAGUUAAUGUCUCUAUGAUCAUAUACUAUGUGUUGAUAGUAAUAACUACAUUUCUUAAAGGAUGAAAAAGUUCGUCAAAGAACCAACAAAAAUUGAAAUCCCAAGAUAAAAAAUAGAAAACUAUCACAUAACGUAUAAAAUUGAGCAAUACCUCGAGAAUACAUUUCAAAACUACUAAAAAUAAUCAAAAAAUAAAUAUAAAGAAACAUUCAAUGAUACAACAUAUGAACAAGACCACACAAAAAUAAAAUAAUAAUUGUGUAAACCUCUUCUAGUCUAGAUUGAAACCAUAAUGAGGCUAAGCAUACUAAAUACCAUAAAACCAAUAAAAAAGUUGAUAUUCAAAGAAUACAUCAAAAUCUAAUAUUAAGAAAGAAGAAUCAAAAGUAAAUAACACUAAAAAGAUCACACAAAAUUAACAAAUUGUAUUACAGAUUCUUAGCACAAUUUGAUGAAAACAAGAUCAAAAACUUAAAAAAAACAUAUUAAAAUACAAUAAACAAAAUCAAGAUUAAAUAAGUAAAAUAAUAAAAAAGAAAAAACAUAAAGAUUUCAUAUGAAUGAAAUUACCUUUAGUGUCUAUACUACUUCUUGUAUAUAUUUUCUCUAUUAACAACAAAAGGUGAUAAAGAAAUAAUCAUUGACACAGUCCCAAGCCAAAAUUAAAUUGAUUUUGAUAAAGAAGAAUUGAUAUACACAUUUAUUAAGAAAAAUACAACUUUUGGUCUUUCCUCUUCUUGUAACUAUUUCCCAAAAGAAUUUGAACCAUUGUGUCUACAGGCAUGAAUUUAAAUAAAAAAAAUAUUAUCUAAUAUUAAAUUAAUUAUAUAUUAAUAUUUAUUUAGUUUAGAGAUAAAAUAAGGGCAAAAUAGUAAUUCAACUUUUAAGUUGAGAGCUUCAUGUUUAUAAUAAUACUAGUAUAGUAUAUGGACACGUGCGUUGCACGUUACUUCAUAACGAUGAAUAAAACGGUAAACAAUUUAACUUUCAAAAAAAUGUUUGUAAUGUACAAUUAACUUGAAGAAUUUUUUUUACAUUUAGUCCUCCCUUUAUUAUAAUUUUGAUAUAUAAAUUAUAUAUUUAUUUUAAAAGAUAAAAUAAAGUAGCAAAAAACAAAAAUGGAGGCACACUAUCUUAUGAUUAACUUUCUUAAAAUGUCUUUUUUGUCUCAUAGAAAUGUUGAAAUGAAAUUAAUAUUUAUACAUUUCAAGAAGAUAAAAUGUUUGACAUUAAUUCAUAAAAAAUGAAAUUCUCCUUCUCAUUAAGUAGAAUGCAAUUAAGUAAUUAAAAUUUAUAAAUAAAAAACUUAUUAGAAGAAAAUAACUAAGAUUUAAAGUGCAAUGAUUGAUAUUUAAAUUAUGUAAUUAUACAAAUAAAAUAGUAAUAUUAAUUAAAUAAAUCAGAUUUUAAUUUAAUGGAGAGUCAAAAUGACAAUAUUAGUAUUCUUACAAUUAAAAGUUUGUUGAAAUAUAUUUUACAUUUUUUUGUUAAAAAAAUAAUAGGAGCAAUAUUUGGUCGAAGGAUAAAAAGAUCUUCUAACUUCUUAAGCAUUUUGGUGUAUCAUUUUUUCGACUUUGGAAUUUGGAUCUCAUAAUAAUUUUAAUGAAAAUUAUCGAAAAACUAUAGAUUUUAUCCACAAGCACAUGUAAGAAUGAUUCUUUACAAAUAUUUAAAAUUUAAAAUGCAAAAAUAUAAUUAUUAAUAUUUGAAAUUAGAAUAUCUUGUAAGCAUUAAUUGUUCUGCAUGUCUUAUACACUAUUUUUAUGAUUGUAUUUGUCUCAUUUUCUAAAGCAAAAAAUACACCCUUCAAUCAAAUAUAUUCUUAAAACAAAAUUACAAAUACAAAGAAAAAGUAUCAUAUAUAGGAGCAAGUUUAGCAUAACGCAACCAACGAAAAAUAGAAAAAUGCUAAGACAAUCUUUUUUCUGUUUUUUCUUGAUAAUGCAAAUAGAAACAAAGUUAUAGUAAUCAACAUUCAACUUUUGACCAUAAAAAAUUAAAAUAUUUGGAAGACAGGUUAAUGGAAGUGAUAUUCAACUACAUAAAUGGAGGGGUCUUACCAUAGUUUUGAUCUCGACAAAUAAGUAAAAAUAAAUAAAUACAUCAAGCUUCGAUAUUUUAGUAAUUAACAUUCAUUCCUAUAAUCACAUUAUGCCUUGUAAUCUUGACACAAAUCCUCUUGCUAUGAAAUUUUCUUCACUUGAUUAAAACUUCUCUAGUCUUCCACACACAAAAAAUUGUAUCACAUGUAUAUCUUUCUAUAAAAAUAAUAUUAAAAGAUUGUAUUUAUAGGAAAAAAUAUAGCUUUGAAAUAUGAAGAUUAACUUACAAAGUUGAAAGGUCAAGUGUUACAAAAAUUAAAAACAAAUAUUAAUUAAGAACAUAAAUUAAUCUAGAAGAUAAACCAUAUAGUAUCUAUUUAAAGGGCAAAUAUUUAAAGACUAAAGAAGUGCAAAAGUCAUUAACAUUUCUAUUAAAAUAAUAUAAUUAAAUAUUUAAAUUAAAUAAUUAAAUAUUUUUAUAUCAUUUUAAUUUAUAAUAAGGGUAAAAUCAUAAUUCAACUUUCAACUUUUUUGGUUCCCUCUUAUAAUAAUAUAUGAUAUGAUUUUAUAAAGGAGCCCUCAAACAUCUCUAUUGUGUCCUUUAGGCCCUUGAUUUUGAUUAGAUGGAGUUUUCAAAUUCUGAGUUUGUCUGUAUUUAGGAAGCAAGUGAGGAGGAACAUACAAGUUUACAGGAGGACAAAAAGUUCUAUAAAUAAACAAAUUGUAUAUAGAUAGAUCCAUAGAUAGAUAGAUAGAGAGGGUAAACUGUUAAAUCUAAGCUAAAACAAAACUGAAGAAAAGGAGACAAGUUGAAAAGAAGAUAAAAAUUAUAUAAUACUGUACAAGAGAUCAGUAGCCUCAUUUAGCUCCUUUUCCCACUCUAUAUUUCAUUUUUUUAUGUACCAAAAGAGUUGCUGUAAUUUGAAGACAUAAAAAGAAGCCAACUACUCUUUUCAGCCUUUGCAAAAUCGACAUCUGAUGAUCCCGUCCAACAUAAUGUAAGUCGAUAAGCUAUCGUUCAUUAGCUUGACCUGUCAAAACGUAUAAUAUAACAUAACAUGGAAAAUCGGUCCCAAGGCCGUAUAGUGAAAUGUUGUUAUAGGCUGUAUAUAUCUGGUGUUGCAUGAAUGCAGAGAAAUAAUAAAAGCAGUCACUGUAAGAUUUGUCUAAAAAUGCAUAGUAUUUGGAGUACUAGUGGCAUUUGUUGUACAAAUAUAUUUUGGUUGCUAUAUAUAGUGAAGUUAUGUUAUAGAGAAUCAUAUAAUAUAACGUAACAUGAAAAUCGGUUACAGAGAAAACUUGGUUGUUAUAGUGAAAUGGUGUUACAGAGGACGGUUUGUUAUAGAGAGAUACGACAUUAUAAGAAAAAACUACCUUUUAUCUAUGAAGAACUGCUAUGAAGAUCCGUGGUUGCUGUCUUCUUCAGUUCUGCCAUCUUCGACUGUUCUUUGCUCAUUUGAAUGUGUUGACUCUGCAUCUUGAUCAUCAGGAAAGAAAAGAGGAUCAAGAUUAGCAUUAUCGUUUUUCGUCUUCUUCAAAGAUUCAUCAAUGCCACCAUAAUCCACUUGGAAAUUAGCAUCCUUUCCGAGUAUGCCUCCCAUCUCUAAAUCAAACUUCCCUUUAGAGUUGAUUGAACCAAAUCUAUGACUCAUGGACAUGGAUCUCAUACUUGCAUCGUCUUCUUCAAUCACCCACUCGCGAAAGUUGACCAAUGAAACUGGGAUCUUAGAGCAUAAGAUUUCCCUGAGAUUCUUCAAAAUGCCACGGCUGUAUGGGUUCUCUUUCUUUUCAUAACGAUAUCUGAAGUUUUCAUAUGUUGUCUGCAAUACGUGUGCAAAUAAAAAUAAGUCACCAACAUGUCUGCUGUUUUUAUUAGUUUUACUCUGAUGUUCGUUAUGUGUUUUGAUUACUUCCUUUGAGCUGAGGGUCUAUCGGAAACAGGUAUCUUACAUGCACUGUGUGUGUUCAUUUGUUGUUUCUUAUGUGUUCGCAAUAGCUGAAUUUCGCUAAGCAAAGUAAUAUUUUGAUGCUGGGACAUUUCAGUUAGCCCGACUUUCGUCCCAAAGUUGGAAACUAAGUUGCACCUCAAAGCAAGACAAAAAGAAAGGAGAGAUGCAUACAUAUCUAUUGAAACUAUAACAGGUGAGAAGGGAACUUGUAAUAGGUAUGAAUUAAGAUGUUAUGUUAUAGAGAUACAGAAACAACGAUAAAAGGGCGAGUAAGUUACCUGGUUGGUUGACAUUAGGUAAAAAUGGAAGACGCUUAGACCUCCGACAAACCAUACAGCUAUGAAGCAAUAGCAUAUCAAAACCACAGAUACAAUAUCUGUUGACAUGGCAUGCAAAAAGCUCCCUGGUUGUCCAAGAAGGUUCAGCAGUGAAAAUGUGAACACAUAUAUGCACAAAGUUGUUGUUGAUGUAAUGAAAAGGAAAAAACACCGAUAAUUACGCUGCCACACGAGGGGAAAAAAAGUGUAAAUGAACUUUUAAUGAAGUAAAGACAGGAACUUUCAAACUACAAAGAAAAAUAUCAAAUAUUAAGAAUUGAACAGAUGACUUACAACUCCAAUACACUGACCCACCCAUGGACAGUGGUGAUCAAAUCUCUGAACACAGUUGUUACAAAUCGAGCAAUGAGAAGCACGUGGUGGACGAUAGAGCAAACAUGUGUCACAAAACUUGACUUUUACUGAAUGACCGUUGAUAAAAAGGUCCUUUGUUCUUGGUAACUUCACAUCAGGGGCUGCAUUGCCUACCCACUCCAUAGAUGCUGAACUUGCAUUCAAUAUUUCAUCCAAGUCAGGUGGCCGCGAGUUCCUAGGAACUAUUCCUGGAUUGCUUGAAGAUGUCAUGAAGAGAAAACUCAACGCCUGCAUUAAAUCGGUUACAACAUUCAUUCUUAGUGCUAUCCAGUUUUUGCAAUUUUAUAUUCCAAAAGUGUUGAAUUACAUACCAAAACUGUGAUGAUGAGUCCCAAAAUUAGUACAACAUGACCAUAUAUUGGACUGACUUUUGGUAUCAUGAAUAGCAUUUUUAUGCAAAAUGUCAAUGCAGGAGCCCCUAUGAGAAACGUCGAUAAGUACAGUGAUGCUGCAUCAGGACCAAAGAUCAAUCUUCCUCCACAUAGAAAUUUCUGAAACAUUAGAUAAAGCUUUUAUGAUUGAGCUAUUCUGCAUCAAAAAACUAGGUAACAUUGACUUUUUGCAUUAGCUUAUCAUAAAUGAAAAACCAGCAUGAAUUUAUUAAAGCCCCUUGACAAGGCUCGUCCUAAAAAGGGCAGCUCGAUGCAUAAAUCAUCACAAUAAAGGGUGACCGAUUCCACGGCUCAAACUUCUAACCUACAUGUUUACACAUACACAAUUUUACCGUUGUUCUAAGGCUCCCCUACUGAACAAGACUCGUUCUUAAACUACAAAUUAUCAUACAUGAACAAUCAAGAUCAAGAAAGAUUAAAAAGGGCUUACAUUGCGACCCUUCCAAACUUGAUAAAGCCUUUUCUUCAAUUUAGAAGUGUCCAUAGAUUUGGAAGAAAAAGCCAAAUCUUGAUUUGUGAUCCCACCCCCCAUCACAGUGCUAAAUCCAAAUAAAAAGUUAGAAGCUUGAAAUUAUAUACUCCUUUUUUUUUUCUUUCUUUUUUUCCCGUUAUUAUUAUAGAUGUAAAACAACAAUACCCAUAAUGUAUUGAAGAUCAAAAAAAGAAAAUGAAGAUUGUAUAUUGAGGGGGUGCUGGUGCCAAAAAAAACAUAAUAAUUUGGAGAAGAGGAGGAAGAAGAAGAACAAGGAAAAAACAAGAAGUCUAAUUUUUCUCUCUCCUCUUUCUUUCUCUCUCUUCUUCUUGGUUGAUCUAAACCAGCUUCUCCCCAGCUCUACAUGUUGAAUGAUGGUCUCUUUUUCUUUUUUCUCUCAUUACCGUUAAAACAGUUUGGAGGAACCGAACAUUUCGCGCGGAUUAUCUCUCUUUUAUUUAUUUAUUUUUUUGUUGGAAAAGAGGUUUAUGUUUCAAGUUUAAUCCUUAAUGUUUUCUCUCUUAUGAUAUUUAGUCCCUUUUGUCUACAGAAACCCUCUCGAGCUAAAGGUCUUUUGAAAAUAAUAUCUCUAUUUUCAUGAGAUAGAAAAGAAGUCUUUUGAAAACAAUAUCUCUAUUUUCAUGAGAUAGAAAAGAAAUUUGUUUUCGCUCCUCCUUCCUAAUGGUAGAUUUGUUGGUAAGGCUAUAAUUUUAUUCAAUUUUUGCAAUAGACCCUCGACUCAAAAUAAAGUUUUCUAUGUAAUUUUGUUCACACCUCAUAAUUUCACCAAGCUUAGAUAAACAGAAAGAAUCACUUCAUAUUUUGCUAAUUGUGAAAUUUAACUUCUUUCAGCAUUGGUACCAGCUUGAUUGAUCACUACGUCACAUCCUUAGGAGAGCGACAAAAUAUAUGUAAUUAGAAUUCAUUUCUCGAUAGAGAGAACUUAUAAACAGAGCUGCAACAAAAUAGCACUAGUCUGAUGCAUAAAAAGAACCGACACUACAGUCUAAUACAUUAAUAAGAUAUCGUACAAUAUCAUCGACUAGCAGAAGCCGGUGAAAAUUAUGAAGAGCAGGAAGAAACCUGCCCUCACUGAAUUUUACCCAGUCAAUGACAAUCCUAAGUACUUAAUAAUACAUAAAAAGCAACAAAUUGUCUAGAGUCGUUGCAAACGAUAAGCUACAACAUCCCGGUGUUGGGCUCCGGGUGAUGACAUGAUUUAUAAUACUAGAUUCCAUAAGUUAUCCUUUCAGAGGGUGUACCAGAUGUCCAAAACCUUGCUGCUCCUAUCUUCAACUACCGAUCUGCUGCAAGAGGGAAAAAAAACAACAUGUUUUAGAGUGUUUUUUGGGGUAAAGUACUUAGAUGAUAUUAGAAAGCAUUAAGAAGAUGAACACCAGACAUGUUUUAGUGUUAUGUGUCCAUGACUAUAUAAUUUACAUGGAGUGUCUAUACAGAACCAGGACAAGUGGAGAUGAAAUAGGAGGAACUCAUCCAGCAACUGUAGAAAGAACUCGAUUGAUUCGAAGGUAGCCUCAUUUACUUUCUAUUUAGUCCAUUUCCAAAAAGACAAAUUUCUGAAGUGGACUAUUUAAUUGAUCUAGAAAACACAAGUUGUCGUCCAAUUAAAUGGCUUUGUAUUUGUUCCAAUUCCAAGUUGACUUUUAUACCUUUUCCCCCAUUUUCUAACCAUUAUUAUUACAUAUUCAAGAGCCAGCUCUAGGGGUUUGGUCUGGCUAUAAGAGCACAAAUGUGUGGGUCAGAAACAAAACAAGGGUUUGGAACUGUAUGUCACUAGCUUGAGGAUUACUGGUAAUAAAAGAACUCACUGGGAUAGGCGGAACUGGGAACAUAAGAUGAAACUGUUAGAAUAUCACCAGUAAAUGUACUUCCAAAGACUGUUCCAGACCUGUCCCAUUUGAUAUUAGCAUGUGCUGAAUGGAGAAAAAGAAUUAUUCUAAAUUUGAGAACAUGUGGCUGGAAGUUGAAGAAUUUAUAGAUUUAAUUGACAAAUGGUGGAAUCUUACAAAUCAAAUAACAGACCAAACAUCGGAAUAACUAAGAAGUUGAGACUUCAAAAGAAUGACAAUAAGGAACAGAAUGUCAAGGUAUUUGGCAUAUCGGAAGGUAAGAAAACUACAAUCCUCAAAAGCCUAGAGGAUUUGGAUAGACAGAGAGAGAAGGGCGUGGAAUGAAAAGAAUUUUCCAGUUAAGAAAAUUCUGUCACGUGAUCCGAGAGAUAUUGCAAGAGCUGAAGAAACAUCAUGGGGGUAAAAUUCAAGGAUGAUUUAAGGCUUCAUCAAAGGGAAAAUACCAAAAACCUCAUAAAAUGGUGAAUACACAUGAGAUGCAAUCACAUUCUUUAUGAAGGACACACAGGGAAACACUAAGUGGAAAUAGCUGACAUUCUUUAUGCAGAUGAUAUAGUUGUGCUACAUGGGGAAAAAGGAAGAAAAAUUGCUUUCCUUGAAAGCUAUUAUUGUGGCCUUUGAGGCAAUUUCUGGUCUACAGACACUCUCACCAAAGAGUAGCACAUUUCCGGUUAAAUCUGAACAGAUGAUACAAGAACUGACAGAGAAAAUGGGAUGUCAAGGAGAAAUUUUCUAAAAGUUUACUUGGACAACCUCUUGGAUCAAGACUGUCAGACACAGAAGGAGGGAGAAAGGGGCAAAAGCAUUGGACAGCACGUUUGGGGUUAUUCUUACAUACUUCAUGUCGAGAUUUACACAAGCAGAUGCAAUUUUCUACAGCACAGAAGCCAAGAUUGAAGAAAAAUGAACCACAUCGACGAAAGUUAAAACAGAUGGUAGCUUGCACAUUAAGAACUCUAGAUCAAACAACGAAUUCAAUUCUGGCAAAGAUAGCAAGCAGAUGAAAAAGAGUGAUCAAUUACAAAUAUGGAAUGGAGAACAAAUGGUGCACAAAGCCAAAUAACAGGUCAUAUGGUGACACUGUGUGGAGACCAGUGUUGUGGACGGCGAGAGGCGACAAAAGGCGACAAGGGCCUGCCUCGCCACGCGGCAAGGCGCUUGCCUUUUUGAAUAAAGGCGCCAAUUAAUACCAAAAAUUAAAAAUAUUUAAUUGCAUAUUUUAUCCAAAAUCUUAAUAGCAAUAACACAUAUUAACAAAUAUUCAAUUCAAAAACCAAUAGUAGAUACUAAAAUGUCUAAAACUUUAAAGACCAAACAAUUCAAAAUACAAUAAACCAAAACUUUAAAAUUCUAUUCUUCUUCAAAAUUAUUCAAUCCUUGAGUGCCAUAAUUCCAUCCAAUGUCCCUCUUUUUGCUAGCAUCCGCCAUUGGUUAUUAAAUUCUAUUAAUUCGCUGUUUAGGAAUAUUGAAAUAGAUAAUUAGGAAAAGAGAGAUUUUUUUAAUUAACUGCCUAUAAUUUUUUUUUAAAAAGUUUACACAAAGCAGUAAGCAACUAAGCACUGCUUAGUGCUUACAGCCUUACACCAAAAAAACACAACUGAAAAAAAAAACUGAAGAAGAAGAAUAGAAAAAAAUUGUUGAAGAAGAAGAGAGAAAACGAUCCCUGCAGAACAGAGAGUCGCGAGGGUCGGAGGGAACACAAUCGUGAGCCGGUGGCCGGCGAGGGAGAAGGAGAACAGAAUCCGACAGCGAGGGAGAACUGGAGAGAGGAUCGCGAUGGAGAAGCUGACAGCGAUGGAGAGCGAGGGAGAAGAGACAGCGAUGGAGGAGAAGAGAAGAGAGUCAAUCGAGAGAGAGAGAGUCACGAUGGAGUUUCAGAAUUUUCAAAAGUAAAAAAAAAAAACCCCUAAUUUUGACUAUUAUUAAGUCAAAUAUUUUUAAUUAAAAAAGGCGGCGCCUUUUCUGUCGCCAUUGCAGCGCCACACCUCGCCUUUUUACUAUCGCCUCGCCUCGGCAGAGAAUGGCGAGGACCCAUCGCCUCGCCUCUCGCCAAAGGCGAGGAGGCGCUCGCCUUUUGUAACACUGGUGGAGACAAAUCAGUGAUCUGCGGGAUCAAAUUUUGGAUCAGUUGGUAACGGUCAAAGUAUCAGAUUGUGGCUGGAUAAAUGGAGAGAAAAUGAUACAUUGAUAGACAACUUUAUAGAUAUCUUCCAUCAGACAAUUGAUAAGGAAUUACAGUUGCAUGGUGAUUGGAAUGGACUUGAAUGGAAGAUGGGAUUUAGAAGAAAGGAACUUCAACGAUUGGAAGAUUGUUAGGGUUACAUCAUCACUACAACUACAGGAUCAAGUAAUUGCAUUGAAAACAGGAAGGAUUAGUGAAGGUGAAUUUUCUGUCAAAUCGUUCUACCAAACCUUGUUUAAGGAGGAAGUCAGAUCACUAGCUCUAGAAGUUGUGGAGAACAAAAACUCGAAAACAAAUGGCUCAUUAUGGAUCGAUAGCAGUACACAAGGCAUGUCUCACAUAGGACAAUCUACAAAAUAAGGAUUUAAUAGAUGCAUCAGGUAUUUCUUAUGUGAAGAUAUUGAACCAGCAAGACAGAUACUGAUACUGCAUUGCAAUUUCAGGGAAAAUAUGGAGCAUGUUUAGGAGUAACUAUGGAGUUCACUGGGUGAUGACAUGGACUGUAAAACAAGCAGCUAGCUCACAGGAAUAAAGGUUCAGAAAGGAUGAAGAAACCAAUGGAGAACAAUGUCUUCCGUUGGAAGUUUGGUUAGAACGAAACCAUAGAUGUUAAGAGGACAAAAUAGAAAAAAAUCAUCUUUUGUAAACAUAGAUGUUUGUAUAAUUUAAAAUUCUGGGGUAAAAGAAAAUAAUGAAAAUGACAUAGAACCAACGCUUAGACCUGACAGAUGGUCAACUUAAUUACUGAAAGAAUAUCCAACUUCUUUUUGUAUAUAUGUUGUACCUGGUGGUACCUUAUCGGUACUAUCAUUUAUUAGCUAGAUGAAAUUUAGCUUACUUUUCAAGAACAAAGACGAUAUUAAACUAGAUAGAUACUCAUUUAACAAAACCACUUAUUUAAAAAACGACUCACUUAACAAGCCAUGGCAAUCAACCACACACCUUGCUCCUCGUUAACAAUUUAUUAAAUCCCUUUGCUCUAUUGCCUCUAUUAAAUUGUGCGCCCCGAUAUGGUACGCAAGGACCGUAAAAUAUCAGAUUAAAGAAAGAGAAAGCAGGAGCAAACUGGGAAACCUGAAGAUGAAGGGAAACAUAGAGCCUUUGCCACCUUAUCUAAGUAGGCCCAACGGAUAGAUCAAAGGUAGAACAAGAGAACUCCAAAAUUACUUCAAUUCAUAAAAUCAAUGGAGAUGAAGCCCCAACUUUAUACAGCUAAAAUGCUAUUCAGAAUUCUAUAUAAAAUAUGUAAACAUGAUAACCACAUCCAUGGAUUAGAUCACAAAAUGAGCAGUAGAAUGAAACAAACUAGAUGCUUUUAUUUUAAAAAGGAAACCAUACCUCGAUACGGUGUUGACUAGUGAACUCCAUUUCGGUAACCAUGACAACUAGUAAAAAUACCCUCUACAGUUCAAUGACCCACAUAAGCAUUUCUUCCUCCUUCGAUCUGCUUUGUCUGGUGGAACCAUGCCAUAGUCAAAAGUCAAUUCUUGCAUGGGAGGAAUAUGUCUAAUGGCAAAAAAAGCAACAUGGUAGAAUGUCUCAUUGUUGAUUUCACGUACAACAAGCUGCCAGUAAACGUUAGGUGAACAACUGUGGUUCAUAAAACGAGCCACAUUGCCACCUUUUUUUGCACUUAUUACAAGGGGAUAUGGAACCUUUUUGGAUUCAUCAUUAUAAUCACGCACAGCUUCCAAUGGUUCAUACAUGCGGGUAGCAUCAAAUAUAUAAUCAUCGUCACCAUCAUUGCCAAACUCACCUACCCUAGAUUCCUCAAUGACUUCUCCAGCAUAUUCACAAACAAAGCCACCUCCACGUAUGGGAUCCCAAGAUCUAAGUCCCCAACCUCUAUUUUUUGUUUUAAAGACCUCCACACGGGCUUUAGGACCUGCUUGAGUGAUACGAUUUCGGCAGUUCGGAGGGCAUGAACAGGCAGAACCACACUCAUAUACCAAGGUUUUGUAACUCAUGAGAACUCCAAGUGGAUUAAAGGGCAAAUAGCCUCCAUUUUUCUGAAUGCAAGGACAACUGGUUCCACCAGGUUGACAUCCACCAAGACAUUGACAGCCAACAGAUGGAUUAGACUUCAUGAAAGGUUUUGAGUACUUCAGACUUGGGAUAUAUGUGAAAUAAGCAGGUCCCUUCUCAUCAUCAACAUCAUUUACGAGACAAACAGGUUGACUCUCUGCACCAGAUGUUAGGUCGGGUAGGAUAACUCCAACUCGUGUCGCCGUUCCCUCUCUCCACUGUUGAACUGAUUUCCACAAUGUAUAUGCUUCAGGCUGCCCAGGAACCCUAAUCAAUUUGUACCUGAAAAUACUGCAAUUGCCCAAUUUGCUUUUCUCUGCCCAUGACUCCUGGACCCUAUAAAGUCCAUCAUACAUGUAGAUCUUCCCCCUCCCCCCAUUUUGAACAUCUACAACACCCCUAAUUACUCUCACCUCAUUGCCACGAUGCAUGCUCUUUUCUAAAGCAAGAUUUCCCCUCUCAAGUUUCUGAUCAAACAUUUGGCCAUCCCUCCUCUGAACUCCACCCUGGCCAGUAUAAAUUAGCACCUCCCCGUCAUCCCCUUCAUCAUCGUACCCUCCAGAGGACACUAUGCUAACAGCAAUAGGUUCCUCAUCCCCUGUAAGUCUGACACUCAUAUAAUCUAUCCCUGCCAUACUGGGUGCGUGUAAACCAACCAGGCACAAUUCCAUCCUGAAGAAGAAGAUGUCACCAACUUCAACCCCGGGUACAUUUCCAAUUCUCUUUGUUUGAUUUGUUCGAGCUCCCCUUGUCAUCAGCAAAUUAGCACCCUUCAGAUCUGGCCUUCUUGCAGAACCUGGAGUCUCACCCCUUCUCUCUUCAAUCUGGGUCAUCCUUCUACGAAACAAAUCAUAAACCAGUAGAAUUCUCCCAGAUAGCUCCUUGUCACCAUCAGCUUUCUUAACCUGAUCGAUCUCAACGAGUUUGAAGGACGCAAGCAGCUGAUUUAAUAGUGGAUCGACAUCUACUUCGAUUGGGGGAGUAGCUGGAUUACCUGAGCUUGGCUGCCCUAACCGAGUCUUUCUCGGUCUUCCCCUUUUUUUUCCUGUACUGGUGUCUUCAACAUCAUUAGCAUGUCCACUGUAGCCACUACCGAAUUGAUCACUGUGAUUCUGUGAAUCAUCAUCUUCUGCAGCUAAGCCAUUCGAAGCACGAGGUCUACCGGGCCUCCUUGGCCCGGUGUCUCCAUUCGCAGCAGGAGUUCUGAAUGAAUUUAAAGGAACCGGAGAUAUAGGCGUCCCAAAACCUAAACCAUCCUGAUUUUCAGCUGAUCUACCAGACUCAUUCGGGGACAAAAAAGGAUAAAAAGGAGAAACCCCAGGGGGAAAAGGACCACUUGGAGGAACACACACAAAAGGUGAGGGUUGAGGAGUUGUACCAGAUGCCAUUCCAUUUGGGGAUGGAAAUACAGGGACAAGACAUCUCAAAGGCUUCACAUCCAAAACCUUAGACUUGUCAAUGGGUCCUGCUGGCGGAACAGAGUCUGAACCAAAGCCUUGCUCCAUUUCAAUAGAAAACCAACAACCACAACAACAAGAUCACCACUUCCACUCACAUGAAUAACCCAAAUUCAAAGGUCAGCACUUCUCCCAAUGAACACUUAGAUCCAUGCACAAUCUCCAAUUUCCUAAAGCAAAUAAAAAGUCAGAACCACCAAGAAAACAUUUCUAGGACAACAUGCACCCACCAAAAAACUAAUAACCCUCCCCUAAACCUCCAAAGAUGCAAAAUUUUUACUCAAAAACAUCUUCCCACAGAAAAUUGACUGGUGAAACACAAUAAAUAUUCAAACUUUCAGAAAAAUGAACAGGAACAAGCCCUAAUUUGAGUUAACCCUAGAAACCCAGUUCAAAUCCAUCAAGAUUUCUACCAAAAAACACAUGCAAACCACAAAAUACGCUAACCCAACUCAAAUCUUUCAAGAAAAACCCUUUAUAAACUCAGAUUCGGCACAAUGACAAUAGAGACUAAAAAAAAAAUCAGAAAAAAGAAAUGAAAACUUCCCAAAAGCAAAUGAAAUCACAAAUUGAUCAAAAAUUAUAGCUUUACAGGUAAAAAGAAGGGAUCUUUAAAAGGAAAAUUACCUGAAGAAUUGAGGAAAACGAUCUUAAAGGAAGAUAGAGUCGAGCGAGGAAAAUUUUUUGUGAAGUGUGAAGUGGACAGUUUUGGCAUAGUUAAAUAGUAGUACACAGCAUUAGAUUUUUGAAUAAAGAAGAUUAGCACAACAUCUUUGUCACGUGCCGGCUUAACCCAUUUUUUUCAUGUUUUUUUCCUCAAAAUAAUUGCAUUAAAUAUUUUAUGACUUCCCUUUAAUGAUGAUUUUGGUCAUGAAAGAUAAUAUUUUUUUCGUUCCUAUUUUUACUCGUUACAUUUUAAUUUAACAUAUGAACAUAUACAUUGAGAAAAUAAUUAUUAAUAUUGUUGAAUGAAUGAUGCACGAGUAAAAUGCAUAAUUGAUUCAUUUGAUAUAAGAAAAAAUAAUAAUUUCAUUAUAAGAAUUGAAAACUCAUUCUAAAUUAUUAAUUUGAUAACUAGAUACAUCUAUUUUGAACGCCCUGGUCCAAAAUAGCUUAGUGCAUGUUUGAUCAUGUUUCACUUUUUUCCGAAAUAUUGUUUCGGAAAAUAAUUUGAGCAUAGAUUAUUAUAAUUUUUUAAGAAAUAGAAAAUUUUCAUAAUGUUAUUUUCACAAUUACUUCAAAUUAAAUUAUAGUAUAAAAAAAUUAAAUUUAUAUUUAUAUUUGUAAAUAUUACUUUUAAUUACUUUUAUAAAAAUUAUAUUUAAAAAAAAAAAUCACCAUUCUUAUGUUCAAAAACGCUCAAUUAAUUUGGAGUUAGCUCUCUUGUUCCCUAAAUGUAAAGGUUUUGAAGAUUUCAUUUUUAAAAAAAAUAAGAAUUUGUAUUUGGUCUAAACUCAAACACUUGCCAUCUACUAUAGUUCUCAACAUAACAAAAUGUUUUCUUUUUUUAAAAUUAUUUAAUCUUACUUCUACAAUUUACCUUCAAAUUCAAUUAUAAUGAUUUGCUUCCAAGAUUUUUAUAAUCACAAAACAAACACAUAAUCUCCUUAUGGUCCCACUUUUCUCUCAUAUUUAUCUUCCUUUUUCUCAUGCAAUAAUUAAGUGGUACUUAUUUUACUCCAUAAAAUUGCAAUCUUAGUAUUUUUCUUUAAUUUAAUCACUUAAGUUUGUUAUGAUUUAAUUUUUCUUUAUCUAGUAAUUUAAAUUUGUUGGUCUAAGUAAUGUUAAAUGAGUGCAAAAGAUCCAAAUAAUAAAAUCUAUGACCAAUUUGAUACUCAACUAUAUUUAUAACCAAUCUCAAUUUAUUUGAAAUUAAUAUGUAAUGGUGGUGUUACUAACAAUUCAUAUUUGUUUAUUUCAAUUUAUUUAUCUUUGCUAAUUAGUUUGUAAUUUUUUGAGAAUUCUUUCAUUUUUAUUUAACUUUAAGAUUAUACAUUUAGCUACAUUCUAUCUAGAUAAGAUUCAAAAAAUUUAUUUACUAUAUGUUAAAUUGAAAUAAGACAAACAAAUUAAACAGAAACGUGAUGAUCCACAUAAAAGUUGCUAACUUGAAAGCUAAAAAAACAACUUCAAGAAUUGAAAUGGUUUCUUCCUUCACCCCUUAUCCAUACUAACAAGUUACUUCUUUUAACCAAAAAUUGCCUUUAUAUAGACAUGCUUUGAAAUCUUGAAAUAGGCAUGCACAAGAGUGACAUUACUCUAAAAUUAAAGCUAAUAACUCAUCCCUCAUUAUUCAGGUGAAACAACAAGUCAACUAGAAAGAAAUCAAGUUUGCACCUUUUUAUGUUUAUUCAUUGUUUUGUUGCUAUUAAGUAAUCAACUAUGAACUUCUCAUUUCUCUUCUGUUUCUGUUUUUCUAUAUAUUUUUUAGUAUUUGUUGCUUUUGAUGUUAUUUCACUCAGAAAGACAUCUAUUUAGUUGCUUUUAACAAAUUGUGUCUAGUUAGUCAAAUUCUUGAUAUUUUUCUGUGCUCACUUAUGAUUGUUGAGAUCUUGAAAAGAAAGUAGGGAGAGUUGGUUAAACUAGUUACUAUGUCAAAUACAACUCGGUGUAGAAUUUGAUCAAUCCUAUUUUUUGUCGUUAAGAUAGAGAACUGAGUCAAGAAUUCUCUUUCUUUAUAUGUUUGCCAACAUUGAUUUCAAGUUGGAUAUUGAGAUAUUAUAUCUCCUAAUGAAUCCAGAACACUAGAGUGCCCUAUGGAUUCAUGGAUUUAUGAUUUAGUCUGUCCAAGAUUGAUCAGUAACUUGUAUACUAUGGAAAUUCUCCGUUACACGUCUGUCCACGUCUUUAUUUAUGUUUUUUCCCUCAAUUUUAUUCUUUGAUUUCCACUAAUACUGUUCAUAACAAGCAGAGAAGUCUGACAGAGUGAUAUUGUCAUUUUGCUUGAACAAUUAUCUUAGUGAUACCAUCUCUUGAUGACAUUAUGUUGUUGCAAAAGUUAGCGACUUUAUUGCUUUUCCUCUUAUGAUUGACUAAAAUCUUGUGUAUUAUAGCAUCUUUGAUAAAGCUUAAAAUAGGUUUGGGGAACAUUGAACGGUGUGUGAUGGAGAUGGAUUCAAGGCGCUCCCUUUGUUGCAUUCUCCUUUUAGUUCUGUUUGGGAUAUUCAUCCAAUACCAAUGUUCUGCAAGCAAGAUUGAUGCAGACCAGACAGCACUACUGUUAGUAAAUGCAUCUGAAGCAUCAGCAAGGAAAAUGCCGGAUACUCUAUUUGGAAUAUUCUUUGAGGUGAGUUAAGUCAUUUACGUGUUCCAAUUCUAGUGAAAAUGAGAAGCUUUCAUCUCAUAUUUUCUGUACAUAACUGUUCCAAUGAUUUAGGUGUCUUCCUGUCUCUUUCUUAACUUUAUCAUGCAAACGUCUUCGUCACCAGCUGACUGUUGGUGCAUAAAUGAUAUGUAGAAUAUUAACAUUCCAUUUUAAUGAAAUUGUACCUUGGUAAAAAAGUUAUUUUGUGCAUUACGUUCGAGCUACUCCCAUAGAUAUGGUAUGCAUUUCCCCUUGUUAAUUAGAUACUGUCAAUUAAAUAAUUUGUAACAUCUUGCGUCGGGUACUUUGUUUCAGGAGAUAAAUCAUGCUGGCGCUGGAGGACUGUGGGCUGAACUUGUCUGCAACAGAGGUGAUUUGGUUAAUUUAGAAAAAGGAAAAACCUGUAAAGAUGGGAGAAAAUGCUUACUAGUCGGUUGAAAAUGUGAAGACAAUGGCAUUACUGUUGGCUAACUAGAAACUCAGAGACAUUAUAUGAUUUUGUCCUCUCUUCAAUUGUCAGAAUUACUAUUUCUUUGAAAUAUAUUCGCGCGCAUGAAACAAUAAGUUGGAAAGUUUUGUAUGUUCUUGAAUGAAUGCUUCAGCAGUUAUGCUUUUCGAUUGAUAACAAGACUUUGGUGAGUACUCUUGAAUUUGAUUUUAAUCUUAUUAUUCUUGAAAAACAAUUACAGGUUUUGAAUCUGGAGCCUCAUUCACGCCACCUCGCAUUGAACCUUGGUCUAUCAUUGGGAAUAAUUCUUCUGUGAUCGUAUCAACGGAUCUUUCCUCAUGCUUUGAUCGGAAUAAAGUUGCCUUGAAGGUUGAGGUUCUCUGUGACAAUGGAGGUGCCAAUAUAUGUCCAGAUGGAGGAGUUGGUGUCUACAAUCCAGGAUUCUGGGGCAUGGUAUCUUACAGACCUUUUAAAAAUCUGACUGUCAUUAGGCUCCAGUAAUUCUAUGUUUAUAUACUCAUGUUGUCCCUAUUUUAUGCUUUCCUGCAGAAUAUUGAACACGGAAAGAGCUAUAAGCUGGUGUUUUAUGUGCGUUCAGACGAAACACUUAAUCUAUCAGUAGCUUUAACCAGUUUAAAUGGACUAAACAAGCUGGCGACAAAAACUGUAGUGUAAGUUUCAUAUGCAUAUAUGUAGUUGUCUAUGUUUUCCAAUUUCUCUCGCCAAUGUUUAUACGAAGUUUGCAUCUUACUUACAGGUUAUUUUUAUUGUUCUUACAGAGCUAAUAAUGUAUCGAAUUGGACAAGAGUUUUUGUUUUGUUGGAAGCUGAAGGAACAGAUUCCAAUUCAAGACUGGAACUGAGAUCAACUACAAAGGGUGUUAUAUGGUUUGAUCAAGUAUCAUUGAUGCCCUUGGACACGUACAACGUAUGUAUGGUGAAAAGAAGUAGUUGUCAACUAAACAAAUUUACAAAUUAUUGCAAUUAUUAGUUAAUCUUGUUGUUGGCUAUAUAUAUCAUUACUAAAUUGUUUCUUCUAUGUCAACGAACAUUAUGUGUUCAGUUAUUUUCAUUCUUGUUCAUUUUUUUCACUAUUGGAUGAGCACUCAGUGGAUGUAUUUGUGUCAUAAUAUUUAACUUCUUGGUGCAGGGGAAUGGCUUCCGGAAAGACCUUUUCGGAAUGCUUAAAGCUUUGAAACCAGCAUUCAUCAGAUUUCCAGGUAUUCCUGAAAUUCAACCUGUCUGUGUCACGUAACAUUACCAGUUGAUGGAGCAAUGCAUUAUAUUUAUAAUAGAAUCGGACUUAAUAUCUUAUACCGGCAAAAAAGUUUAGUUUUUCCCAUUCAUAAUGUUAUUCUGCAGAUGAAUCAAUGCGGAUGCAAGCCUGAAAGAGCAUCUGUCGUAUAUAAUUUAGCAAGCUCUUACAAAGAUGGAUUUGCAAAUAGGAAAUGUCAGUGAUUAAUGUCAAUUUUCCACAAGUCCUCGAGUAGACUAAUUCAUUAGCUUCUGAAGUUGUUCAUAGUUUAUAUCAUAUUUCUGGUUCAACUUCUAUCUAAUGUGGUAUCACAACUCACAAGUAAUAUCAUCUGAGUUCAACUUCUGUUUUCUCAGCAUUCUCCUCCUCAAGGUGUCAUGAUGACGAGAUUAACAAAAAGCAUGGAAUUCAGAUUUCAUUUCUCCCUUCUUAUGUUUUUCGUUGUUCUGCUUUUUGAAAGUAUCGUAGCCCUUCUUUUUGAUCUUUUAAGUUCUGCGACAGUUAGAUCACUUAUUUUAGUUUCGCUCAUGUGCUUCUGUGUAGUUCUCCCCUGUCUAUAUGUAUGGAUAGUCUCCCAUUUGAGCAUCUUUGAUGAUCUGUCCAAUGUGGAUAAAUUUGUCAUUAAUUAUACAUGUCUGUAGGGGGAUGUUUUGUGGAAGGGGAACGGUUAAAAAAUGCAUUUUGGUGGAACAAAACAAUUGGACCAUGGGAAAAUAGGCCUGGCCAUUACGGUGAUGUGUGGGGGUAUUGGACUGACGACGGACUUGGUCAUUUUGAGUUUCUUCAAGUAAAAUUCUUUCCCUCUCCUGAAUUUUGAUGUAAAUGGACUUCUAAACCUGGCCAAGCCUCUUAACAUGAAUACUGUGUGCUUAUGCAUGUCCCUUACUCGAGUCCUUUCUUGCUGCAGCUUGCCGAGGACUUGGGUGCAUUGCCAAUCUGGGUUUUCAACAGCGGUAUGUCCUCCUCUUCUUUCUAAGAUGCAUUAUUUUUUUAAAAAAAUUAGUCUGUGUUCUCUUCAUGCAGUUCAUUAGCUUUUUCUAUACGACUAUUAUUCUCAGGAAUCAGCCACAAAGAACAAGUUGACACUUCCGAUAUCUUACCUUACGUGCAAGUAGGUCUCCUGAACUUUCUCCUGCGUACACAUGACAUGGACAUUACUUGUUAAAUAUGAUUGAGAAUUAAAACAGCUCUGAAGAUCGAUUUGAUAGUCAAUAUUUUGGACAUACAACUUAUCCAGACACUCAUUUCACUAAAAUAUAGAGGCAUAUCCGUAGGUACAACACUUUCUAAACACAAUCUUCCUUCUUAUCAGCCAUGCAAUCUCUGUUUCUUUUUAAAUUUUUACAAGACGUAUGCUAUAGACGUUAAAAUCUUACCAGAAAUUUGAUGAAAACAAUCCUUGGAAUUGAAAUGUUACAUUACUUGGACUGUGGAUGUUGCAUAUUAAGCUUUCUUUUUAGGUUUAUAAGCAUAUUUGUUGUCCCAGGAUAUCUUAGAUGGUCUUGAAUUUGCGAGAGGUGCUCCUAACUCAAAAUGGGGUUCAUUUCGAGCUGAAAUGGGACAUCUAGAGCCCUUUGAUUUGAGAUAUGUCGCUAUUGGAAAUGAAGAUUGUAGCUACUCAAAGUACCGUGGUAUGCAGAUCACAUUUUGUUCUAUGUUUCAUUGAGUCAUUAUCUAUAAUAUGCAUGAAGAAUAAAAUAGCUUUGCAGCUGGGACAUCCCUUUACAUUUUUUAUUUACAGUUGGACGGGCUUCGUAGCCUUCGAUGAAUUUUGAGGAUUGAUUCAAAUCCUUGUAUAUAAUAUGUAUGAUUCAGGAAAUUACCUCGAGUUCUAUUCAGCAAUCAAAGAAGCCUACCCAGAUAUCAAGAUAAUCUCCAACUGUGAUGGUUCUUCCAAAGCAUUGGAUCACCCGGCUGAUUUAUAUGAUUUUCAUGUAAGACUUUGAUGUUGUUCAAAGUCUAUCUUACAGAGCAUGUACAUUUGAGCUUUAACUUUGUUUACCUACGUUUUCAAGUGAGGUUUUAACUUUGUGAUUUCUCUAUGGUUAAGAUUUAUGCCAGUGCAAGUGACAUGUGGUUUAACGCCAGCCGUUUUGAUGAUGCACUGCGCAGUGGACCGAAGGUGAGUUAAAAUGUUCCUUUUGAUGAUUAAUUUCCUGUUGUUGUAAAUGGUGCUUAUGUAUACUGUUCAUAUUUAUAGGCUUUUAUAAGUGAGUAUGCUGUGCAUGGAAAAGGUGCUGGAAAAGGUAGUCUUUUAGCUGCACUGGCUGAAGCUGCAUUCCUUAUUGGAGCCGAAAAAAACAGGUACUUGUCAUUUCUGAGAAUAUGUAUCAAGCAACAUAUCUCGACAUUAUAUGUUAAGGUAAAUAAAGAUAAUAAGGAUAAAACUUCAAAGCGUGGAAAAUUUAUGGUGUGAACAGUGUGAUCUCUUUGUUUGACGAUAACCUGUAUUUAUCCUCGUGCAGUGAUGUGAUUGAAAUGACAAGUUAUGCACCUCUAUUCGUUAACGACAAAGACUGGAAGUAAGUUUGAUUUCUUCUUCUCCCUUUUCUUUGAAAUUGGCUAUCACUGCAAAAUAAUGUCAUUUUGUUUAGAUGGACUGCAGAUGCGAUUGUUUUCACUUCUUCACAGGCGUAUGGAACCCCUAGUUAUUGGAUGCAACACUUUUUCAUAGAGUCAAAUGGCGCAACUUAUCUAACUUCAACACUCCAAGCUAAUCCUUCAAAUGCACUAAUAGCAUCUGCCAUCACCUGGCAAAAUGAGACUGAUAACAACAACUACUUAAGAAUAAAGGUGUGAAGUUUUUCUUGACGUUUAUCAUUCGUGCCUCUCAAGACUUACAUUAUCUAGACUAGAUCCAUACAUCUCUGCGAAACUAAUAUUUCUCUUUGUAUUAGAGGUUAUAGUGCUCAGAAUCAUGAGGAUUUGUCUUUUAUGUUUCUUUAAUAGAUUCAAUCUGUGUUCAUACUUGCUACAGUCAACUGAUGCUCAUUUUGCAGAUACACAACUUCGUCUCCAUCUAUAAUUUCGUGACUAGUUCGUUUUUUUUUUCUUUUCAACACGCGACUUGUUUUGCAGGUUGUGAACUUUGGGAGCAGCAGAGUUACUCUUAGUAUCUCUAUCAGUGGAUUGUCAUUGCAGUCCUCUGGGGCAACAAAAACUAUAUUAACAUCUAGCAAUGUGAUGGAUGAGAAUUCUUUCACAGAUCCUAAAAAGGUACAUACAACUUCUUUAUCUGAUCAUUUCGUUUUAUUUGGUGUCUGCUUUCCUUGAAAUAGUGUUAUUUAUGCAGAUAUCACCAGUUAAGACAAGGCUUGGAGAAAUUAGCGAAAACAUGGAUGUUACACUCUUACCAUAUUCUUUCACUUCGUUUGAUUUGUUAAGAAAAUCCAUCAGCAUUAGGACUGUAACAACUGCUUCUGAUCUUGAAUCUUCAUUCUAAAACUAUGUAACUCACUGAAAAUGCCAAUAAAGAAUAAUAUCACUUUCAUUAGUUCUUAUGGUUCUUUCGUUUUAGUAGUUUUUCCUGUUGCACUUCUAAGGCGUUUGUUAUUGAACUUCUUCUGAAACAGUCUCCAUCUCCGUCCUUUAACAGAUUAAACGAAGAAAAUGGGCAAAUCUUUAGAUGAAUGAUUAAUAAGAAAAUACUUUUAAGCUUCCUUUGCAUUCCAUCAAUUCAUAUAUUUAACUAAUUUGAGUCCAUACAACUGUUGCACUUCCACAUAUUCAGAACCUAUUUUGCUUGUACCCAAAAGUGCACUAGUACUUUUCAAGGUUCUGAUAUGCACCUGUCAACAUUUUUGAACAGUCCGAGCAACAUAGCCCAGAACCAAUGACAUCAAAGAAGAGUGUUUUCACUUUGAUAACCUCUAAUGUAAACAUCUGCAACCCCAGUGUUAACCUCCAGAAAAACUCGAGAAAGUGAGCAAAAGCAAACAAAGAAAAGUUCCAGUUAGCACAAAAUCACAACUUGUUGAUUGACAGUAUAUCUGUCUCAAAGUGUUCCUUCCAUGUAAAUAUUUCAGAAUCAACAUUAUAUAAGGAAUAACAAGAGCCUUCUCUAAGUAUCAACUAAAACAAGUAGAGACUCUAAUAGCACCAAAUCUAUACCAUUAAACCCUUAGUUGUUUAUUUACAAGUUGAAGACAUUGAUGUCAAGGUUACAAAAAGGUGAAUUGUGUGGUAAAGACUACACAUUCUUGUUCUUCUUCAACUUUGAAGGUGGCCAUCUCCCCUUCUUCCUAAGGCGGCGCUUCCUGACAAGUUUCUUCCUUCGUAAUCUGAUGUUCUUUGCCAACUUCAUUUUCAUCUUCUGUUCAAGCUUCAGCUGAAGCUUAGACUCCAAUGGCAGGUUAUCAAAAGACAAACUUUCCUCAUCACUCUCCAGAUUAUCAGAAUCUCCGCUAUCAAUAUCAGAUGCUGCCUCAGCAAUCAAAACACACCUCUCUUUUAAGAUAAAGGGUGCUCGAAUAUAGCAACUGAUAUGUGACUUUGCUUGCAAAGCAAUGGGAUCGUUGCAAAACCUGGAGACUAAUAUAUACAGAAUCAAUUAUAAAGUUAACCUCUUAUAAAUAAAAUGAACAGUCAAGAUGUUGCAGAUGCAUGACGAUGAAGAUGGGAGUAUUUCUUAUAAUGGUUUAAGACUGCCUCACUAGAAAAGGAUGGACAAAAGGCAACAGCAAUCACAUAAAUCAACCUUAAAUUUUGCAGAUUGUUAAGAUGCAGGACAUAAAAGAUAGGUCUUGAUCUGCUACCCCAUUCUGCCACCCCGGGAUGGAUCGAGAGGCCUGGUUACAGGUUCAUGUAUAUAUGACUGUAAAGACGAUUAUUAUUAUAGUUUUAACUUGAGAAUUGCGAUCGAUAUUAGGAACUUUAACUUCAAAUUUUGAAUUUGUCUCUGCCCCAACAAUUCAAAAUACUAACAUUUUUCAGAUAAACAGUGGCGGAUGCACCUUUGUGUCAGCAAAUUCAGCCAGUACAACUGCUAUUACAUUUAUAUGGUGAAAAACUUUAAAACACUGUUACAAAGAGUAUUAAGUACAAUGGUAAUCCCACCUAAACUGCUAGAACUCCUCAUAAAAAAACCAAUGGGCGUAGGGUGCAUAUCAAAUUCUCCAAAAAUAGUUUUUUUUUUGGAGAAUCUAAUGCGAGGGCUCCUACAUUUUUGGGGAGUCCGAGCAGCAUAGAUCCCCAAAAUCCAAAUUGACAAGGUAGGGGAUGAUAAGAGGCUAACUCAUUAGUAUUCUAGUAAAGACCUAAAUCAAUUCAUUCGAAGUUACAAACUUUACCAGGAAACAACUAAACUUAACAGAGCAAAAGAACAUAAUAGACCAAUUCAGAACCUAAAGAAAGUAAAUGCAAACUCCAAUACAACACAACAUAAAGCAAAUGCAAACAGAAGAAAAACCCAGAAUUUAGAAUCCCACAAUAAUCUCUGUAGAAACAUCUAGAACACAAGAUUAAUAACCCAGAAUUUAGAAUCCCACAAUAAUCUCUGUAGAAACAUCUAGAACACAAGAUUAAUAGACAUACAGAAAGGUCAUUCAAAUAAUUAAACAAAGACACUAACAUGAGUGAGCAAACACUGAAGAAGUUGAAGAUGAAUGACAAGAGAGACGAGUAAGGGGAGGAGUCAUGAUGGUGAACAGUAGAGCCAUCUCUCCAGUUUUGGGGUUUCUUUUCUGCAAGUGCUAAGCCAGAAAGUGUCAAAAAUGGUCUUCAUAGAGAUACAAUUUGACCUUUUUUUUGCCCUAUUUAAAAAUUGGGUUUUCGAGUUUGCAUAUAA